AGAAGGAAGAUUUCGCUCCUUAAACUUUUAUUUCAGCAGUCCGGCAAGAUCGAACAACAAACUCCAAACUAAAUGUAAAGUAACAUACAAACAAUAACAAUAUAUAUAUAAGCACAAGCAAUUAAAGGAUUAAGAAGAUUAACAGAUGACAAAUUAGAAAUAACAAUAGAUUAAAAGAGUAAUUAGUGUCCGACACGUAUUUGUAAAUUAUAGUCCAAACUGUCACAGAGAAUAAAUAAUGAGAUAAAUAGAGUAAAUGCAUUUAAGACCUUUGUCCAAGAUUAUGACACAUAAUCCCUGUAAAAC
rnacentral:lncRNA from 1 species